AUGCAGUCUAUAAUCUUUGAGACCUGAUUGCCGUGUGGCAGUGUUGAGAAACAGCAGACCCUGAAGGCUUGGGUAGAAGGUGGGGUGGAUGUGGUAUAGGGAGGAGUGGAUGGGAAAUGUGGAUGACGGUGAAGAUAUUACAUGCAGUCAAUACGCUGCGGAGGUCUAGCUUUGGUGCGAUGGGCUAGAAGUGACGGCUGACAUGUUCCCUGCGAGCAGAGAGAAAUAUGCGCUGAGAUUGGAUUGAGGGCCUCAUCUCUAAAGCAGAGCAUAAGAGCGGCCGGGCUUGAAACUUCAGGGCAGCGGCUUUGAAAUGCUUUGAGGUGCAGGCAGAAGUGAUGAGAACCCCUCCAGGACCCAGUGAUGCUGGGUGCACAAGUACGUCUGCUUGGCCCCUCUGGUUGACACUGCUACGCUAGAUUGGAAUCUCCAUGAGCUCGAUGUGUUGUGAUGGUGCCAAUACAGCUGCUACAGGCCCCAUGCUUGUGAGAAUUAUCAUGUGUAUUCCUAAGUAAAGUUAAUUAGAUUUACACAUGUUGAUAUUCUUUUGACAGUUAUUUAGAACAUAUCUACUAAUAAAUUAGAACGUUCAGGCUCCGCACUUUUGCAUAACCCAGUAAUUGGAUUUCGGCACCUGAUAUUUCUAGGAUCUCUUGAAUUAUCAAAUCUUAAAUAUCAUUGUUCAAACUUUGGUGUUAGGCAGUGUGGUAUGGAAUCAAAGAGGAAAGAGAGCUGAGCCAAUGUGGUACUCUUUCGAUAUUUCGAAAUCAACCACCACGCGAGGUAGGUGAUUUGGUGAAAUAUCAAGUAAUAUUCUGAAAUGUCAGUGAGCUACUAUUUGAUUGGGGGCAA